rnacentral:rRNA from 1 species
GACGAACCGUGCGAACGUUAUUCGGAAUCACUGGGCUUAAAGCGCGUGUAGGCGGGUCGGCGCGUCGGCCGCUGAAAUCCCCCGGCUCAACCGGGGAAGGGGCGCCGAGACGGCCGGCCUGGAGGGACGUAGGGGGGGCUGGAACUUCCGGUGGAGCGGUGAAAUGCGUUAAGAUCGGAAGGAACGCCCGUGGCGAAAGCGAGCCCCUGGACGUCUACUGACGCUGAGACGCGAAAGCCAGGGGAGCGAACGGG